rnacentral:tRNA from 1 species
GCGGCCGUAGCUCAAUGGUAGAGUUCCUGGUUGUGGUCCAGGCGGUUGCGGGUUCGAAUCCCGCCGGUCGCC